rnacentral:tRNA from 1 species
GAUAAAAUGGCUGAGGACAGGCAAUAAAUUGUAAAUUUAUUAAUGGAGUUUAUCCUUUUAUCA